rnacentral:lncRNA from 1 species
AGCUGAUCCCGCGGACCCACUGGGUUGCCAAGCUCGCGCCGGAUGCGGAGCGCGGUGCUGCCGGUGGAGCUUCAGGAUGGAGAAGGAACUGACUGCUGUACCCAAGUGAAGAUCUUUACUCAGUUACCCUUAUAUUUGGCUAUAUGGAAUAAAAUUGUGUGAUAUGUUUAUUCUGAGCAGGUCUUGAUAGACUUUCUGUAAAGAAGGAAUGAUUUGGUGAUGGAGUGUUCCCACUGACCGAUGGACUCAAAGAAGAGAAGCUCAACAGAGGCAGAAGGAUCCAAGGAAAGAGGCCUGGUCCAUAUCUGGCAGGCAGGAUCCUUUCCCAUAACACCAGAGAGAUUGCCAGGCUGGGGAGGAAAGACUGUUUUGCAGGCAGCCCUCGGAGUGAAACAUGGAGUUCUUCUGACUGAAGAUGGUGAGGUCUACAGCUUUGGGACUCUUCCCUGGAGAAGUGGACCAGUGGAGAUUUGUCCAAGUAGCCCCAUUCUAGAAAAUGCCCUGGUUGGGCAAUAUGUUAUUACUGUGGCAACAGGAAGCUUCCAUAGUGGAGCAGUGA